rnacentral:rRNA from 1 species
CCAUGCAGUCGAACGAUGAUGCCCAGCUUGCUGGGUUGAUUAGUGGCGAACGGGUGAGUAACACGUGAGUAACCUGCCCUUGACUUCGGGAUAACUCCGGGAAACCGGGGCUAAUACCGGAUAUGAGCCGUCCUCGCAUGGGGGUGGUUGGAAAGUUUUUCGGUCAGGGAUGGGCUCGCGGCCUAUCAGCUUGUUGGUGGGGUGAUGGCCUACCAAGGCGACGACGGGUAGCCGGCCUGAGAGGGCGACCGGCCACACUGGGACUGAGACACGGCCCAGACUCCUACGGGAGGCAGCAGUGGGGAAUAUUGCACAAUGGGCGAAAGCCUGAUGCAGCGACGCCGCGUGAGGGAUGACGGCCUUCGGGUUGUAAACCUCUUUCAGCAGGGAAGAAGCGCAAGUGACGGUACCUGCAGAAGAAGCGCCGGCUAACUACGUGCCAGCAGCCGCGGUAAUACGUAGGGCGCAAGCGUUGUCCGGAAUUAUUGGGCGUAAAGAGCUCGUAUGCGGUUUGUCGCGUCUGGUGUGAAAACUCGAGGCUCAACCUCGAGCUUGCAUCGGGUACGGGCAGACUAGAG